rnacentral:rRNA from 1 species
UACGGAGGGUGCAGGCGUUAAUCGGAAUUACUGGGCGUAAAGCGUGCGCAGGCGGUUUCUUAAGUCAGAUGUGAAAGCCCCGGGCUUAACCUGGGAACUGCGUUUGAAACUGGGAGACUUGAGUGUGGCAGAGGGGGGUGGAAUUCCACGUGUAGCAGUGAAAUGCGUAGAUAUGUGGAGGAACACCGAUGGCGAAGACAGACCGCUGGGUUAACACUGACGCUCAUACACGAAAGCGUGGGGAGCAAACAGG